rnacentral:rRNA from 1 species
GACGUAGGGCGCGAGCGUUGUCCGGAUUUAUUGGGCGUAAAGAGCUCGUAGGCGGCCUGUUGCGUCCGCUGUGAAAUCCCGGGGCUCAACCCCGGGCCUGCAGUGGAUACGGGCUGGCUAGAGGCAGGCAGGGGAGAACGGAAUUCCUGGUGUAGCGGUGAAAUGCGUAGAGAUCGUAAGGAAGACCAGUGGCGAAGGCGGGUCUCUGGACAGUUCCUGACACUGAGGCACGAAAGCCAGGGGAGCAAACGGG